UUCAGAGUGACCAGACUCCGAUUUAUACGAAAGCAAAAUGAAAAUCCAAGUUCUUGUCGCCUUCAUGCUCGUAGCAGUCGUUGCUGCCAUGGCUGCUCCCAAUCAGGUGGCCGAAGGGUCAGACUUGCAUCCUCUCGAAUUGAAUGUUGCGGAAAGCGAUGUCGACACGCAAGGUGUUUCCUGUAUCUUCGGGGACGCUGUUUGCUCUGCCCACUGUCGGGGCGAGGGCAGAAAGGGUGGAAAAUGCAUAAAGGGUACUUGCACUUGUUACAACUAGAUUUAAUGUAACGAGUUUACAUAUCAAAUCCGGCAAUAUAAUUUUCUGUGUAACGGAACUUAUUAGUGGACCAACGACAAUUCAUUGUUUUUGUUGAAAUAUGAUGACAUCGAGCACAUCGAAACUACAAUAGGCCUUGGUUUAUUAAGAUUCAUCAUGUUUAGAAAUAAAAAAAAAAUGUAAUAUUAUACACAUAGAUUUAUAUUAAAAAUAAAUGAUAUCG